UAUCUUUGAAGACCAAAUACCCAAAAGAUCUGCUUCAACCUUCCCCAGUUAAUCUUUUGCCAGAAGAUUCACAAUCUGAAUGUGGCUGCCUGUCCAUCAUUGGAAGUAAUUGGAAAGAAAACUUUGCCUGAAGCUACAUGAGAACUGGAACCCUUAAAUCAUGAAUGGUGGCAAGAUUCCAAAAUUAAUUAUGAAGACUAUUGGAAUGAUGUAGCAUCCUUUAACUCUUAUUGUGAUCGACAGAAAGUAUCAUAGAUGGACAACUCACUUUCCCUUUGCUCUGUGCUUCCUGGUGAUUUUAGGUCACGUCCACUCUGAAAUCUGAGCUGUCAUUAAAGCCAUGUCUUCGUGUCUGUCUGUCUGAAGCAGCAAA
ensembl:lncRNA PLCB1-IT1 PLCB1 intronic transcript 1